GCGCAUCUUGUAAGUUUGUAAGAUACGUAAAAUGGUCAGUCUUUAUUAUUACUUAUCUCCCGGUUGGUAAUUACGAUAUCACGACGACCGCAGUUCCAAUUAGAAGCCGCCAUUGAGUUCAUUCAUGGCGGCCAUUCAUCGCCGAGUCUUUGUUAGCUUCCUCGUGCUAAUUGGGAGAGGUUUCUAUUCAGGGAACGGGAAUGCACAGUUUAGAAACAGGAUUACUGUGACAGGUGAGUAAAUAUCCCGGGCUUUAUGAAAAACAUAAGGUUUUUCAUAAAGAACGAAUAACUGUUCAGUUAUUCGUUGGAAGCAUUCGGCGCUCCUCAGGGAUGUUCAAUACUCGACUAUCACUCUUCAUAUGACAAUAGUCAGGGGACCUAUUAGCUAAGAUGAUAAUCGUCCAUCUUGUACAUUGACAAAUGCCCAACGAAAAGCAAAAAUGUAUCAGGAUGCCAGAGAUGCUACGGGGCUAUGGGGUUGUAAAAGUUUCCCCAUAGUAAAAGUUUUUCGUAUGGCCAUGAAUGACCUACAUAUACACCCCUCCGGGUGACACAUAACAAAAUCACUGUGUAUAAACGUACCUUUAUUUUUAUACUUAUAAUUUGGCGUGUCAAUAAAUAACUAGGCCCCAUCAGCACCUUUUUAAAUUGUUUUAUAUUAAUUAUAAUGUGUGCCGAUAGAUGGCGCAAGGAUGUAGGAAGCGUUUGUUAGCUAUUAGGUAGGUAACUGCCUUUUAUCUAACGUUUAUAUUCGAUUUUGAACCUUAUAUAUAAAACAUUUAAGAUUUUUAAUGAAAAUUUUAAAUCGUGUAUUGUUUCGGAUAUUAUGUUAGGUAGUAAUAAAACUGUUACUUAACAAAGAUUUACAGGUCGUUCGUCUUUGUCUGUCACUAGAACAUUUUAUAUUUGUAAGAAAAUGACUAAAUCAUUUUAACUACAGCCAUGUAACGGCAUGUAAAGUUUUAUGACCGUCCAUGGUUAAGAACGCUAAAUUACUUCUCUAUUGUUCAGGAACUACGCAGGUAACUAGAUACACGUAUAGUAUAUAAUACUAUAGGUGGUAUUAUGCUAAUUACUACCCUAGUGCGGUAACUAGCACUUUACUUGCGUAUGUCGAAAAUUUAAUAAAAUUUAAAAUUUAUUCGAAAGUAUAAAAUUUUUCGCUACUUGUAUCAUAAUUUAUUAUUUAUAUAAUUAUAAAACCGAGGUUUUACAAUCAUUAUAUGAUUUCAAGCUAACAUAACAUUCGUUAUGAAAAGGGGAUAUUAACCAUGUACUUAUACCAUGUCAAACCAUGCACACAAAUACAAAUAUACAUGGUAAAUAGGUACCCCGUUUUUAUAGCAGUCUACAAAUUAUUCUAAGACCUUGACUAAACUAACUAGAUCAAUCUACAUGUAAUACACUACCUACUUUAUUCGUUCUACUGAGUGUUUUCUUGUGGGUAGUAAGACUUGUAAGGUUGUCACGGGACGCAAUGGAGUGCAUACAUUACCAACACAGGUCGCUGCUAUUCAGGUCGUGACGAACAUGCGUAUGCGACGAUGGACGAAAACAGCCGGGUCAGGGUUGCUGCACACUGUAUUGUGUAGGCACGCUUAUAAUAUGACAAUUCACUGUUUGCUAUAUUUGUUCAUUGUUUCUUAAUUGCGGAAACCUCUAGAGGCUGCAUCACCAGUUAAUAUACUUCGAUAUUAGCUGAGAAUGUUGAAAUAUUUAACACUACCAUCAACAGGGGUGAAUAGGGAUGGUUGGGGUGAAUAGGGACAAAACUUAAAAUGUGAUUUUCCUGACAUUUGUUUUAAUAAUUCCAUAGUGAAAAAAGGACAUAGAGUGCUCACUCCAUAAAUUAAUUUUGUAUCAAAACUAAUUAAUUUUAUUUUCCUAGUCGACAUCUAGCAAUGAGUAGCGGAAUUAUCAGUACUGCUUAUAGGUACUAUAUUUCUCUAUGAAAAUACCUACUUACACACAACGAUAAAACGAUAUGGAUAUGGAUUAUCUGAAAACGAUAUGGAUUAGAUAUGUCAGUGUCAAAUGUGACGUUUCUUCAAACAAAAACGUCACUUUUGACGACACAUCUAAUUAAAUCCAUAUCGUUUCUAGAUCUAUGUAUUAAUUGACGUAUCUUAAAUUAAGUUCGAAUCGGGCAGCACUAUUCUGUUCUGUCAGUGGUCGCUGUCAAUCAGCAGCUAUCAAGAGGAAGCGGCAACCCUAUCAAGAGGAACUUCCCUACGGGCCAUUACCCGCCCGUUUCCGUCGGCAGCGGCGCAUAUCCGCUCCGCUGAUGAUAAACAAAGGGUCAAAGGGUCUUCCGGUCUGCGGGCUCCCAGAAAGCCGAGGAGUGUUUGUCAUCAGUCAGCUGAGAUGAAAGUGGCCGAUCUUGAAGAAUGGGCACGAUAUGAAAGCAGCCGCGUGACAAAUGAGGCCGAGCUCAUUGUUGUAACAGCUUUGUAUUAAGUAAAACAGAUCAUGAUGGAAUGCAGUAAUGACGUGCGCCACACAAAGCGAAGUGAGAUGUCUUGAGCAAAGAGACUUUACGAGUAUACCCUGAAUAGAGUUAGUACAUAUAGUACUUGUACUUAUAUUGAUUUAAACUUUCGCGCAUAUCCGAAUUUGCAAUGCAAAUAUGCUGAACCAAAGAGAUUUAUAAGUGCUGAACACUACAAAGUCAACAAGGGGUUGUUAUUUUAAUAAAUUAGAGGACCACUUCAGGUUCUCCCAGGAAUUACCAACGAUCCGCGGGCCGUCGGUUAAGGACAACAACUACAUAAUUAUGCUUACCAGUGGCGGCGCGUCCAUAAAAGCCGAUUCCCACCGGCUUGCCUGUUUUUGGACGUUUGAGCAGAGUUGUAAAGGAAAUAUAUAAGCCAAAUUAGCCCCGGCUUGCUAAUGGAUAUGUUUGACGCGCCGCCACUGAUGCUUACAGAAUAGUCCAAAUACUAAUACCCUUAUUUCGACUUCGUUUUAAGUCCUCGCUAUUACUUAGUUCAGUUGCGUUGCGAGAAUUUUUGUAUUUUUAGACCAGUGUUUUAGGUUACGAGAAUUUUUGUAUUAAACAUUUUUUCAACAAGACACAAAGAUUUUGCGAUUUUUUAGUUUUAUGAUUAGUGGGCCACAGCUGUGGCCACAGCUAAAUCCGGAAACGAGAAGAGAAGCCGAAAAUGCUUUCUUUGAAGGUGUGCGACGUGUGCGUAUUUAGUGGAUGUUUUAAUUCACGACAAUAUUAUUAUGUUUUAUUCCACAAGGGUCCAUAUAAUAGGUCUAUAAUUAGUCGAUAUCUUAUCGAAUUUUACAGAUGGGCAAUCACGUAGGUAAGUACCGUGACGUGAGGUCAGCGUUGUUGUGACAAUGGCUAAUCUUUCACAAAGAGGUUGCUUUAUCAUUGGUCGGCGAUUAUACGAUCCGUAUGAAGGGCAGAUAACGAGAUAUAUAUUGUUGAAAAAGUAAGAUAACCAGGGCACAAUUCCAUUUUAUCCAUAUAUCGUUGACGUAGGUAUUCACGUGGUGUUCACUUAAACAAAUCUCAAUUGCCAAAAGGAUGUCUAAGUAGGUAUUUCAACUUUUCUACGUAUUUUAUUAGAAAACUACUUUGCGUAAUUUGCAAAAUUAUUAUGUUGGGAUGUAUUUAUGUACCUAUAGGUAUGUGGCCAGCUAAAAAUUUAGUUAUGGAAGUAAUAAAAUGAGUGACCGAUUCAACGUUCUUAUUAUUUUAUUACUUAUCACCACUUAAAUGCGGCUAUGGAUGCGACAGGCAAGGCUAUCGAAGUAUCGACGUGACAUCUUCCAAUUCCCGGUGCCGGUAGCGCCAGCAACGUUGCAACAGUAAUGUUGCUGUAGUCGUUAUCUGUAUGUCACACUAAGUUUAAAAGAAACUAAAAGAUACUAUGGCUAAACUAGCUUAAUCAUAAAGGGAGAUAAAAUUGGAACGUUUGUAGUCUGUACGUACAGGCAAUUACUAUGUUGUUAAGGUUUUGCAUUUAUAACAACCGCUACUUGGAAGAAAUCUCGAGCAAGAACGACCGUAAGAUCUCUAAAUCGCUAUUAGAUAAGAUUUUACCGUAUCUGGGCUUAAGUUUAUUGCUUUAAUUAUGAUUAAAUAGAUUUAACUGCCGCGAAUAUGUCGUCCUAAGAUUAUAAGUGUUAUUAUAACAUCUAUUGACAACCUGCCGGCGUAUUAUGGAUGGUUUUAUCCACGUGAUAAAAUAAUUGUCAC